rnacentral:other from 1 species
GGCUUUCUGCGCGACGCGACCGGCAGCACUAUCCCCGGGGCCGAUAAUGAUAACCUCUAGGGAGCCGUCCCUGCCCUGACCGUGGUCAGGAUAUAUGGCGCCCACCUGCGCAAGCAGGCCGCGGAGGAUUGCACACCACCGCUCGAUGUGGAGCCUUC